UGCUUGGUAACGGCCAGAACGAGGGUGACGACUGAAGAGGAGGACAAGGGAAGAGAAGGACGGGGCUCCAGAAAAUGUCUUCUUGCGGGUCCUUCCACAUCAUCUUCUGAUGCUCCUGAAGUUACAACCACCAAAAUCUUGUUCCUGUCCCUUCUUGGAGUUUUGAAAAAAGUCUCAUGGACCUUUUGUAUGGCAUUCCCAGUGUUUAAAGAUCCACCCCUGAAUAAAAAUUGCUUCUUAAGAUGGGUCAGCAUGGGAUUCUUUCCUCUGAACUUAUGCAGCUGAAAUUCAACAUGCACAUCAUCACUGUAUUGCACAAGUGCAACAUGAUAUCUGUCUGGGCCUAUUGGGAGACCAUUAAUCAUCUUUUGAACAAAAUUCUUCAUAGCAGAGAAUGCCUUUUUUCCAAUUACAUCAGAGCUAUCAAUCAAAAGUACAACAUCUGCAGAUCCGGAGGCUGCAAAAGCAGAAAACUAAAGUUAGUUCAUAUUAGUGCUUUACCAAAGAUAUUCCUAUAAAAAAUUGAAGACAAAAAUAGCAUAGACUAUCAUAAAUUCUCUUUGAUUUGUU